UACAGAGGGUGCGAGCGUUAAUCGGAAUUACUGGGCGUAAAGCGUGCGUAGACGGUUAUUUAAGUCGGGUGUGAAAGCCCCGGGCUCAACCUGGGAAUUGCAUUCGAGACUGAAUAGCUAGGGUACGGUAGAGGGAAGCGGAAUUUCCGGUGUAGCGGUGAAAUGCGUAGAUAUCGGAAGGAACAUCAGUGGCGAAAGCGGCUUCCUGGACCAGUACCGACGUUCAGGCACGAAAGCGUGGGGAGCA
rnacentral:rRNA from 1 species